UCUCCUCCUCCUCCUCAUUCUCCU
rnacentral:sRNA from 1 species